AGUCACGUGGUCUAAUGGUUAUGAUAUCUCGUUCACAAUAAGUGAACUUACAAAUCCGAGAUGGUUCCCGGUUCGAUCCCGGGCGUGACUA
rnacentral:tRNA from 1 species